GUCUUGUAAUUGGAAUGAUGGUGACCCAAACCCUCACCAGAGUAGCAAUUGGAGGGCAAGUCUGGUGCCAGCAGGCCGCGGUAAUUCCAGCUCCAAUAGCGUAUAUUAAACUUGUUGCAGUUAAAAAGCUCGUAGUUGAAUUUUAGCGUGUUCGAGUUUGCCAUUCGUUUGGCUUUUUCGAGUUCGCUUUUGGGUUUUCCCUUUUUACUUUGAGAAAAUUAGAGUGUUUCAAGCAGACUUUUGUCUUGAAUACUUCAGCAUGGAAUAAUAGAGUAGGACUUUGGUUCUAUUUUGUUGGUUAUUGAACCUUAGUAAUGGUUAAUAGGAACGGUUGGGGGCAUUCGUAUUUAACUGUCAGAGGUGAAAUUCUUAGAUUUGUUAAAGACGAACUACUGCGAAAGCAUUUGCCAAGGACGUUUCCAUUAAUCAAGAACGAAAGUUAGGGGAUCGAAGACGAUCAGAUACCGUCGUAGUCCUAACCAUAAACCAUGCCGACUAGUGAUUGGAGGUCGUCGUUUUGCUGACCCCUUCAGGAACUUGAGAGAAAUCAAAGUCUUUGG
rnacentral:rRNA from 1 species